UACGGAAGGCAGCAGUGGGGAAUAUUGCACAAUGGGCGAAAGCCUGAUGCAGCUAUGCCGCGUGUAUGAAGAAGGCCUUAGGGUUGUAAAGUACUUUCAUCGGGGAGGAAAAAACAAAACUAAUAAUUUUAUUUCUUGACGUUACCCGAAAAAGAAGCACCGGCUAACUCCGUGCCAGCAGCCGCGGUAAUACGGAGGGUGCUAGCGUUAAUCAGAAUUACUGGGCGUAAAGAGCACGUAGGUGGUUUUUUUAAGUCAGAUGUGAAUCCCUGGGCUUAACCUAGGAACUGCAUUUGAAACUGAAAUACUAGAGUAUCGUAGAGGGAGGUAGAAUUCUAGGUGUAGCGGUGAAAUGCGUAGAUAUCUGGAGGAAUACCUGUGGCGAAAGCGGCCUCCUAAACGAAUACUGACACUGAGGUGCGAAAGCGUGGGGAGCAAACAGGGAUUAGAUACC
rnacentral:rRNA from 1 species